GAUCAGCUGAGGUUCUGCUGACCCCCUGGAUCAUGGUAAGCUGGCACGUUUCUCCUGGUUUACACACUUGUGGUCAGAAAGGCUUUGUGUUUGAGUGAGAAUCCGUCUGAACAGGUCUGUACUUGAGCGUUAACGGUGUGGGUGUGACGCUCAGGUAAAUAAUUAGUGCACACCGUCGAGCUUUCUCUUUCUUUACACGAGAACUCCAGCAUCAGAUCCAUCUGAUAUGAUUCAUCUCCAGAUACUCUCUACUCUGAAGACCGGCUGCUGAGAGUCCACAGGAGCGCAGCCCAGGGGUGUUGAGUCGCAUCGGGAGCUGGCUGUCGUGGGGUUGGGGCAGAGAUGAUCCCACCUCCCAAACACAGCAAGAGGAGGACCACGGAGAAACCAGAGCAGACGAGACAGAUCCCACAGAGGCGAGCCCAACCCUCGACCGGAAUGCCAAACAUCUGAGACUCGAACGCAGUCGGUCGAUUGAGAGGAAAAGGCCACCUGAACACUUUGAACAAAUGGGCCGGAGGAGAUCUGGCAGGAGGAGGCGGAGCUCUCACGGGGAUGGGGGCGGAGCCAAAUCCCCAACCAAUCCCCAACCUGUAAGCCCUGAAGCAACCAGUUUGACAAGCGGCCCGCGGAAAGCAUGCACUGACUCAGCUUUUGAGGAGAUGGCAAACAGCCUUCCAGGAGCCUCUGGAGCAGAAGCGCCAGACUCAGGUAACCGUGAGGAUGUCUUCCAAGCAGAAUGGGCCCAAGCACACCUGAGCGAAGACGCAGAUUCGGAUUCGCUCGUCCAAGCGGCGCUGGUUUAUACAGAUAUGGACGAGGAUCGAGUGGUGAGGCUGACGGAGAGCGCCGAAUCCAAACGCAGGAGCAUCAAAGUGUCUCACAGCGAGGUGGUCUUCGCCAAAAAGGUGGUGGUCGCCUCGGAGGAGCAAAAGGAAGAUCAAAAUGUGACUUUUAAAGACCCCAAACGGCCGAGAUUUGAUGAAAGAGCCAGAUUUCCAGAGGACAGAGUGGAUGGCACCAAUGUGAAAUCCAAGGGCCGAAUCGCAGACAAGAUCAGUCUGUUUGAGAGAGGAGCCACCAAUGCAGUUGGCAGCUCCACAAACCUGCGUCACCUGGAUAUUUCUCCAGCUCGAAAUGUGGCCAGUCGUCUUUUCACAGAACGUGCCGGAACGCGGUCCAGUUCCGCACCUCCAAACCAAUCAGUUAAAGAGAGGGUGAUGAAUUUUAAUGCAGGACGGAGGGGAGAAGAGAAGCUGACGUUGCCGUCUGGUCGUACGCUGAACGAAGGACGUUCAAAAAUAGCUGAAAUAUCUUGUUCCGGACGUUUUGAAAAAUCAACAGCAAAGACAGAUACCAGCGGAGAGCCAAAGGUUAAAUGCAAGCCUCAUUUAAACAUCGAUCAAACUGACUCCAAAUCCCACAAUGCAACACAAAGCACACCUGUAUUGUCAGAGAGCACAAGUGACUCAAACAUUGGGAAUAAAGAGCUGGAUUCUUUGCCAAUGGUUUCAUCACCUACUGAUGAGACACCGCAGGUGAAAUCGCCAAACCGGACCAGCUCGCGAUCUAAAAAGCGUCGAGGCAAAGAUCCGCUGAGCCCCACCAAACAAGAAAUGGGUCAGGGUAAACAGGAGGUCAAGGACAAACCUCUUGUAGAUAUUGUAAAGACCACAGAGCAGUAUUCUGAUAAAGAAAGACCCAACUCUGCUUGGGAGGUCGUAAGCAAAACACCUAAAGUCCCUCCAAGGUUGGAGAAAGCAGCAGAAAUUAUGCAAAGCACAAAGAAAAAAUCUGACUCUCCACAUGCGGACACAAAAUUUCCUAAAGAAAUGAAAAGAAAGGAUGAGAAGCAUGGCUCAAAAGAAGAUAAGAUAGAACGGACAGAGAUUGACUCAAAAACGGAAGAGAAAACGAGAAACAUCAACAAAAAGCAGCCUGUUCAUGAGCGCUCAGAAGGACAGGGGCAAGGGAACAGAGAUGUGAUUGUAAACACAUUGUUUGGAGAGUCAGGGAAACCAGAUCCAUCUGUGACAAAAGAAGAGAAACCACCGUCCCCAGAGGACCUGAAUGAGGCCAACUCUAAAGACUGCUUUGAGCCAGCCAAUAACAGCGCUGCAGAUUCCAGGAAAGAUGCCAUGCGAAACAGAGGGAGUGAGACGGAUACGCUGGUCUUACCUGAGAAAAAAGCAGAAAACACCACUGAAAGUGACCUGAAAUCGGCACAAAGACCAUCAGAGACAAACCAAAAGAGUCGAGAAAAAGACAGUUUGGCUGAGACUACCAAUCAGAAUGAGAAAAAUGACCUUGUUACAGAAACAACUGAGACACACAAACAUAGUACUGAAGUCAGUACAGCAAAGCCAACCAAGCAGAAUGUAGAAGAAGGAAUUACAACAAAGACGACUAAACAUGGUAAAUCAAAUGACACCUCAGUUGUGAGACAAGACACAACAAUUAUGCCAAGCAGUGAGGGUAAAGAGACUCAGACUCCAGAGAUAAUCUCUGAAUUGUCUGAUCAGACUAAAGAAAACGCCACUACUACAAGUAGGACACCGGCAACACCAAACCCUGCACUGGUCAAAGACCAAAAUAACCAUGUGGACACCAUAAUUUUACCUCAAAUUCCACCUACAGAGGGAGGCGGUCGCAAAAGAGAUGGGCCACCCCUACAAAACCAAUCAGAGAGCGGAGAAGAACAGAAAACACUGGCAGUGUCUAAUAAAAGGGAUUUACAACAGCCCAGCACUGAAAUUAAAAAGGGAGGCACCAAAAAACCACAGAGUAAAAUCACCAGCACAGAAAUGACAUCCAUAACAAAUGGAGAUAUACACUCUGUACAGGCGGAAUAUCAGGUUUCUGAUUCUCUUAAACAGUCUGGAGAAAAUACACUUGGCUCUAGCCUUGAAAAUACCUUACCUGAAAUACCAUCCAAUAAUGACAAUCUACCUCUGAGUUCAGCAAAAAAGAAGCCCACUUCCUUGUCAUCCAAAGUCAUUGAAGCAUCCACCGAGCAAUCUGGCCAGGUCACUGCUGAACCAGCCUUAAAAGAUGAUACAGCUUUCAGUGAUAAGAACACAACCUUGUCAAACUCAGCUAAUAAAAAAACAAAUAAUGAAAAGACCACUCCUCCACCAGCCUCUACCAAUGUAAUAAACACUCCUGAAAAACCAACAACUAUUGAAAAAACCACAUCUCCACAAGCCCCAACCAAUGAGAAAACCUCCACUUUACCUGCCUCAACUAAAGAAAAGACUACAGGUCUAUCAGCAUCAACCACUGACACAAUAUCUGCUACAUCAGGCUCCAAUGAUGACAAAAACAAACCUCCACCAGCCUCAACUGAUGAGACAAUCUCUGCUUUGCCUGCCCCAACUACUGAAAAGACCACGCCUCCGGGAGCAUCUGCUAACGAACAGACCACGCCUCCAACAGCAUCAGUUAAUGAAAAGACCACACCUCCAACAGCAUCAGUUAAUGAAAAGACCACACCUCCAACAGCAUCAGCUAAUGAAAAGACCACGCCUCCAACAGCAUCAGCUAAUGAAAAGACUACGCCUCCAACAGCAUCAGCUAAUGAAAACACUACGCCUCCAAGAGCAUCAGCUAAUGAAAACACUACGCCUCCAAAAACAUCAGUCACUGAAAAGACCACGCCUCCAAAAACAUCAGUCAUUGAAAAGACCACGCCUCCAAAAACAUCAGUCAUUGACAAGACCACGCCUCCAAAAACAUCAGUCAUUGACAAGACCACGCCUCCAAAAACAUC
ensembl:lncRNA